GAAUCGAAAUUUCUGUUAACGACAUCGUAUUUCUACGAUCCGAAAAUUACUCAACCUCUUUUUUAAUUUACGACUAAUAUUAUCUGUUAUUGAAAUACGUUUUUUUAAGUUGGUUUAAUUUGUAGAAAAAUUAUGUUCCUUGUCGGCCAUGGAUUCUUCUUGCGAUCUUACGAAUCACGGAAACAAGAUAGAUUUUCGAUAUAUUUUCCUCCGUUUCGUUUUUUUGCGAAGGAAAUGUAACUUUUCUAUUGUCUGUAAUUAUUUACAGGUUUGCGAUACUACACUAUAGCUUCGUUUCUAAAUGAAACGAAUGUUUACAAAAUCUCGUUAUACAGGCUGACAUUGAUCCAUCUUUACCGCUGGUUGCCCUCGGUUUGCUGUCUUUUGGACACGCCUUCCUGACCCUUGGCUUGCCAGAAACGUUGAACCAGGAAUUACCAGAAACCCUACAGGAGGGUAACGACUUCGGCAAGGAACAAAGUUUCUGGUGGGUUCCGUGUAUAUCCUCGAGCAAAAUGCUGAAAAAAUCUUAUAGAAAGAAGAAAGGCCUUUCAAAUCCAGCGUUUACUGGCAGUGUUCAAAAAAUGGAUUGUACUAGGUUAUAGCGGUUAGAUUUGGCGACGGCGCGAAACUUGCCAGUGGCGCGAAACUUGCCAGUGGCGCGAAACUUGCCAGUGGCGCGAAACUUGCCAGUGGCGCGAAAUUUGCCAGUAGGGUGAAACUUACCAGUGGCAUGAAACUUACCAGU